UACGAAGGGGGCUAGCGUUGUUCGGAAUCACUGGGCGUAAAGGGCGCGUAGGCGGCCGAUCAAGUCGGGGGUGAAAGCCUGUGGCUCAACCACAGAAUUGCCUUCGAUACUGUUUGGCUUGAGACCGGAAGAGGUUAGUGGAACUGCGAGUGUAGAGGUGAAAUUCGUAGAUAUUCGCAAGAACACCAGUGGCGAAGGCGGCUGACUGGUCCGGUUUCUGACGCGUGA
rnacentral:rRNA from 1 species